rnacentral:rRNA from 1 species
GCAGUCGACGCUUCUUUUCCCACCGGAGCUUGCUCCACCGGGAAAAGAGGAGUGGCGAACGGGUGAGUAACACGUGGGUAACCUGCCCAUCAGAAGGGGAUAACACUUGGAAACAGGUGCUAAUACCGUAUAACAAUCGAAACCGCAUGGUUUCGUUUUGAAAGGCGCUUUACGGUGCCGCUGAUGGAUGGACCCGCGGUGCAUUAGCUAGUUGGUGAGGUAACGGCUCACCAAGGCCACGAUGCAUAGCCGACCUGAGAGGGUGAUCGGCCACAU